GACGAUUUCGUCUCUCAUUUAAUGCUCUACCAAACUCACCAUCCUUUUAUCUUCCAAUUCCCCACUGCAACCACUUCCUCUUCUCAUCUUCAGACCCAAAUGGAAUGCGUUGAGGUUGCUUUGAAAGCCAGUAUCAGGAAGGAGAUGGCCCUCAAAUUUAGCCCACAAGUGUCUUUCGACGAUUUAUGGGUACCAAAUAUGCAAAACGGCGCGUCGUCUGAUGACUCUAUCGUGGACGAGCUUUUGGACUUCUCUAAUGAAGUUGGUUUCAUUGAGGAAGAAGCAGGAGAAGAAAAAGCUUAUACUGUGUCCGUUUCUCCUAAAGAAGUCCUUGAAGACGAUAAAAUUAGCGAGCAAAGCUCAAAUUUUUCUGCAAAAGAAUAUUUUGGGUCUGUUCCGGCUAAUAGCGAACUUGGUGUUCCGGAUGAUUUGGCAAGUCUUGAAUGGUUAUCGCAUUUUGUGGAGGAUUCCAACUCAGAAUACUCCGCACCUUUCCCGGC
rnacentral:misc_RNA from 1 species